rnacentral:rRNA from 1 species
AUUGAACGCUGGCGGAAUGCUUUACACAUGCAAGUCGAACGGCAGCACGGACUUCGGUCUGGUGGCGAGUGGCGAACGGGUGAGUAAUGUAUCGGAACGUGCCCAGUCGUGGGGGAUAACGUAGUGAAAAUUACGCUAAUACCGCAUACGAUCUAUGGAUGAAAGCGGGGGAUCGCAAGACCUCGCGCGAUUGGAGCGGCCGAUAUCAGAUUAGGUAGUUGGUGGGGUAAAGGCCCACCAAGCCAACGAUCUGUAGCUGGUCUGAGAGGACGACCAGCCACACUGGAAAUGAGACACGGUCCAGACUCCUACGGGAGGCAGCAGUGGGGAAUUUUGGACAAUGGGCGAAAGCCUGAUCCAGCCAUUCCGCGUGCAGGAUGAGGGCCCUCGGGUUGUAAACUGCUUUUGUACAGAACGAAAAGGUUUCUACUAAUACUAGGAGCUCAUGACGGUACUGUAAGAAUAAGCACCGGCUAACUACGUGCCAGCAGCCGCCGUAA